ensembl:snRNA U2 U2 spliceosomal RNA
GUCUCUGUCAGCGCUAAGCUCAGGUGUGGUGUCUGCUCUUAUCAGUUUAAUAUCUGAUGCGUCCUCUCGAUGAGAGGACUUCACGUUAAACGGAUUUUUGGCCUCGGGAGUUGGACCCGGAGCUUGGUCCCUCCGCUCCGCGCAUCGUCCCGGGAACAACAGAUGUACUACAG